CAGUAGCCACGGGAAUACGAAGGGUGCAAGCGUUACUCGGAAUUACUGGGCGUAAAGCGUGCGUAGGUGGUGGUUUAAGUCCGUUGUGAAAGCCCUGGGCUCAACCUGGGAAUUGCAGUGGAUACUGGGUCACUAGAGUGUGGUAGAGGAUAGUGGAAUUUCCGGUGUAGCAGUGAAAUGCGUAGAGAUCGGAAGGAACAUCUGUGGCGAAGGCGACUAUCUGGGCCAACACUGACACUGAGGCACGAAAGCGUGGGGAGCAAACAGGAUUAGAUACCCUGUAGUCCCUGUCUCUUAUACA
rnacentral:rRNA from 1 species